GGGGAAUAUUGCGCAAUGGGGGAAACCCUGACGCAGCCAUGCCGCGUGAAUGAAGAAGGCCUUCGGGUUGUAAAGUUCUUUCGGUAUUGAGGAAGGUUGAUGUGUUAAUAGCACAUCAAAUUGACGUUAAAUACAGAAGAAGCACCGGCUAACUCCGUGCCAGCAGCCGCGGUAAUACGGAGGGUGCGAGCGUUAAUCGGAAUAACUGGGCGUAAAGGGCACGCAGGCGGUUAUUUAAGUGAGGUGUGAAAGCCCUGGGCUUAACCUAGGAAUUGCAUUUCAGACUGGGUAACUAGAGUACUUUAGGGAGGGGUAGAAUUCCACGUGUAGCGGUGAAAUGCGUAGAGAUGUGGAGGAAUACCGAAGGCGAAGGCAGCCCCUUGGGAAUGUACUGACGCUCAUGUGCGAAAGCGUGGGGAGCAAACAGGAUUAGAUACCCUGGUAGUCCACGCUGUAAACGCUGUCGAUUUGGGGGUUGGGGUUUAACUCUGGCGCCCGUAGCUAACGUGAUAAAUCGACCGCCUGGGGAGUACGGCCGCAAGGUUA
rnacentral:rRNA from 1 species